ACUCCUACGGGAGGCAGCAGUGGGGAAUCUUGCGCAAUGGGCGAAAGCCUGACGCAGCCAUGCCGCGUGAAUGAUGAAGGUCUUAGGAUUGUAAAAUUCUUUCACCGGGGACGAUAAUGACGGUACCCGGAGAAGAAGCCCCGGCUAACUCCGUGCCAGCAGCCGCGGUAAUACGGAGGGUGCGAGCGUUAAUCGGAAUUACUGGGGCGUAAAGCGCAUGCAGGCGGCCUGUUAAGUCAGAUGUGAAAGCCCGGGGCUUAACCUCGGAAUUGCAUUUGAAACUGGCAGGCUAGAGUCUUGUAGAGGGGGGUAGAAUUUCAGGUGUAGCGGUGAAAUGCGUAGAGAUCUGAAGGAAUACCAGUGGCGAAGGCGGCCCCCUGGACAAAGACUGACGCUCAGAUGCGAAAGCGUGGGGAGCAAACAGGAUUAGAUACCCUGGUAGGAUAGCG
rnacentral:rRNA from 1 species